rnacentral:rRNA from 1 species
GGAAACAGGUUAAUAUUCCUGUACUUGGUGUUACUGCGAAGGGGGGACGGAGAAGGCUAUGUCAGCCGGGCGACGGUUGUCCCGGUUUAAGCAUGUAGGCGGAGGUUCCAGGUAAAUCCGGUACCUUGUUAACGCUGAGGUGUGAUGACGAGGCACUACGGUGCUGAAGUGAUAAAUGCCCUGCUUCCAGGAAAAGCCUCUAAGCAUCAGGUAACACGAAAUCGUACCCCAAACCGACACAGGUGGUCAGGUAGA